rnacentral:rRNA from 1 species
AGCGAACGCUGGCGGCAGGCCUAACACAUGCAAGUCGAGCGCCCAGCAAUGGGAGCGGCAGACGGGAGAGUAACACGUGGGAACGUGCCCUUCAGUUCGGAACAACCAAGGGAAACUUUGGCUAAUACCGGAUACGUCCGAAAGGAGAAAGAUUUAUCGCUGAAGGAGCGGCCCGCGUCUGAUUAGCUAGUUGGUGAGGUAAUGGCUCACCAAGGCGACGAUCAGUAGCUGGUCUGAGAGGAUGAUCAGCCUCACUGGGACUGAGACACGGCCCAGACUCCUACGGGAGGCAGCAGUGGGAAUAUUGGACAAUGGGCGCAAGCCUGAUCCAGCCAUGCCGCGUGGAUGAUGAA